UCGACUCCUAGGGCCUCUCCCGUUAGUUCCUCGUCCCCCCGCACCCGCGCUUCCUUCUGAAGCUUGACUCCUCCCCGGACUCUUCGCUCUCCUCUGGCCCAGUGCCUUCCCCCGCGUCCUCUCCGCUACCUGCGUAACUUCUAGAUGCGGAGGCAGGGGUGAAGGGCACCGAUCCUCCUCGCUGGGGCGGCGCGGCCGCGGCGGGCUGUAGAGCGAGCCUCCGCUAGGGGGAGACUUCGCCUCACGGAAGCAAAGGGGACUUUCCACCCAGAGGAAGCAGAGGACGAUGGUUGCCAAGGAGGGAAUGCUGGCUUGCAGAGAAGGAGAAAACAGAGACGGAGGAGAAGACUCCAGGGAAAAAACAGAGAUGGAGGAGAAAACUCCAGGGAAGAACAGAGAUGGAGGAGAAAACUCCAGGGAAGAACAGAGAUGGAGGAGAAAACUCCAGGGAAGAACAGAGAUGGAGGAGAAAACUCCGGGGAAGAACAGAUGGAGGAGAAGACUCCAGGGAAGAACAGAAAUGGAGGAGAAACAGUCUCUCUCUGACCAUGUUGUCCCUUCCGCAUUCUAGAACCCUUUAAGGCCCAAACUAUACGUCUUACUUUUGGGAUCUGUUACAAGCAUCCUAGAACUUUAUAAUAAAGUCCCCAUUUUCUGGUUAA